UUUCAGGGUUCCUGGGUGUCACACAGAUCUCAGUGGAACCUCCAAAUGAUAGAACCUAAUGGGGAAACCCCCACUCAAUUCCCAAUUCGGCGUGCACCCAAAAAAAUCACGAAGGACC
rnacentral:pre_miRNA from 7 species